UAACUAUGAUAGUGGCUUGCUGUUUGUGCCUGUUGCACGUUGCUCCGUGUCGUUUUGAUACUGCUUAAUAAAGUUUACGCCUCCACUUCUACCAAAAAAAAAAAUUCUAUAAUUGGCAGCGAAGCUGACUCAUAAUUCUUCUAUGUUCAAAUUUGUAAAAUUUUAGAAUUAAUAUCUAUUUAAAAAUGUUAGGUUGUUUUAAAAGAAAAAGUUUAAAAAAUAAAAGUUAUGGGAGAUGAUAUGUGUAGGAAAAUGUGAAUUUACAUAGUUCCAUUUGAACAUUGGCUGUAAAGUAAGAGAAAAGAAAAAUCAAAAUAGAAAAAAUUAAUUUUAUGAUUAAAAAUAUUCUACAACCUAUCAUUCAUAACUAAAUAUUCAAUAAAAUAAGAACUAUAUCUAAAAUAAUAUAAAAGAAUCAAGAAAUAUCAUUAUUUAGCUGAAAAUCCUGACACAGAAAAGAAGAAAAAUAAAUUCUCAAUCAAGCUCAGUCCAACUCUAGGUGUAUCCUGAGAUUUCUAGCAGAAGCCCAGCCUAUAAAAAUAUCAAUCCAAUUAUUUUAAGGAACGCUGGGCCAAAUGGGCUGUAGGAGUCGGGUAAUGCAAAUUGGAGUCGGAUGGUCUCGAAGGAAUAAAGAGAUUGUUAGCUGAUGGCUCUUUUUUAAGAUAGACAUAGUAUGAUCGAUCAAUAUUCAUACUCAUCUCAUAAUUUAAAACUCCAUAUCUACAGUCACCUCAUGUUCAUUUUAGAUCGGAUUGAGUCGGAUAAAAUAUAUGAUAGGGAUCAAGCUGGUUAGAUCAGACAGGUUUGAUCGGAUCAUAUUGAUCAUAUUAAAUAAGAAACUCAUCGUACAAAUAUUUUAAAAGAAUUAUAAUUUUAAAAAAAAUUUAAAUAAAAAUUAUAACGGAUCAAAUUCUAUAUGAGGAUAUGAUCCAAAUCUAUUUUAAAUAUUUUAUCUAGAAUCCGUACAUAUCCGAAGGCUUAAAUGCAUUGGAUGAAAUCCGCUUCACUUGGAGGAUCGGAUAUCGAAUGAGCCGGGUGCAAUUGCCACCCUUGCUCUCUUUGCAACACACUGCAACAUUCUCUUUAGAGGUUCCUCCGCCGCCACUCCCACUCUCUCUCUGUUUUCUCCCCUCUCUCAUCGAAUGGUUGCAAUGCUUGCUCUCUGGUCGUCCAUUAGCAGAUGCCGUCAGCGCCAUCACUCCCUUGCUGGUCUCUCUGUGUUUGUGGCUCAGAAUAGUGACAAGCUUCGAAUCUCUCUCACUUCUGCUGGCAUUUCCUUGCAGCUUCCUCCUCCAAAGCAGACCCAGAAAGGAGGAAGCUCUCAUUUUUCCAGUCCGAUGAGAUAAUUCAAGGAUAAGAUGAACAUACAAUACGUGAUAUCAACACACCUGCAAGUCACACGUGUCAGAAUAUCAACACAAAAACACUUUGUGGCUCACAACAACACACCUGCAUUUCCUUGUGGCUCAGAACAAAUUAAAACACUUGUCAGAAUAUCGACACACCUGCAAAUCAACAGGCUUUAUGUUAUGGGAAUCGGCUUGUCUCGUGUAAUGUAUUAGCAGAAAAUCCUUCCAUCAUAGCUGGGAAAAGGAUGUUGGAGUUAGGCUGUGGCUGUGCUGGUAUCUGCUCAAUGAUAUCUAUUUAUGAGUUUGCCAAACUU